rnacentral:misc_RNA from 1 species
GAACUGCGAUAAGUAAUGUGAAUUGCAGAAUUCAGUGAAUCAUCGAGUCUUUGAACGCACAUUGCGCCCCCUGGCAUUCCGGGGGGCAUGCCUGUCCGAGCGUCAUUGCUGCCCUCAAGCCCGGCUUGUGUGUUGGGUCGUCGUCCCCCCCGGGGGACGGGCCCGAAAGGCAGCGGCGGCACCGUGUCCGGUCCUCGAGCGUAUGGGGCUUUGUCACCCGCUCGAUUAGGGCCGGCCGGGCGCCAGCCGGCGUCUCCAACCUUAUUUUUCUCAGGUUGACCUCGGAUCAGGUAGGGAUACCCGCUGAACUUAAGC